rnacentral:rRNA from 1 species
AUUGAACGCUGGCGGCAUGCCUUACACAUGCCAGUCGAACGGCAGCACGGGUGCUUGCACCUGGUGGCGAGUGGCGAACGGGUGAGUAAUACAUCGGAACAUGUCCUGUAGUGGGGGAUAGCCCGGCGAAAGCCGGAUUAAUACCGCAUACGAUCUACGGAUGAAAGCGGGGGACCUUCGGGCCUCGCGCUAUAGGGUUGGCCGAUGGCUGAUUAGCUAGUUGGUGGGGUAAAGGCCUACCAAGGCGACGAUCAGUAGCUGGUCUGAGGGGACGACCAGCCACACUGGGACUGAGACACGGCCCAGACUCCUACGGGAGGCAGCAGUGGGGAAUUUUGGACAAUGGGCGAAAGCCUGAUCCAGCAAUGCCGCGUGUGUGAAGAAGGCCUUCGGGUUGUAAAGCACUUUUGUCCGGAAAGAAAUCCUUGGCUCUAAUACAGUCGGGGGAUGACGGUACCGGAAGAAUAAGCACCGGCUAACUACGUG